rnacentral:lncRNA from 1 species
UACAUAUAUAAAUACAUAUAUAUAUACACAUAUAUAUAUAUACACAUAUAUAUACACAUAAUAUAUAUAUAUACACAUAUAUAUAUACACAUACAAGUAUCCAGUGUGUUAUGACGAGCAGGGAUUAAAUUGGGAGGUGGGAGGAAGGGGUGUGACCAACAACCAACAGAGUCCCACCACCUCCAGGGUACAGUGAGACACUGUAUACAGUGACAGUUCAAUAGAUUCAUAUGAAAAAUUUACCAAUUUUGGGGGACAGAGAGACAGGACAGUUUCAUCACCUUACAAAAUCCAUAUUUAACCCCUGGUUUUAAGUGGAGCGGCUGCCACUUUAAAAGCUUGUUUCCUCAAACAAACAUUUCUCUAAUGGGUUAAUGUUUAAAAAGCUAGGCUAGUCCUUUAAAAGGAAAAGAGGACAAGGGGUAAAAGACUCAGCACCCCCCCCCCCACGUUGUUUUUAAGGUACAAAAAAAUAAGCGAUAUUUCUUAUCAACCAGACGUUGUACAACAGCUUGUUAUUAACAUUUUGAUUUGGGAGUCUGAAAAACACUCCAAAGGUUUUUAUUUUUAGAUUUUUUGUUUUGUUUAUUUGUUUAAUUUGAGACCAACACCUAAAGGAAAAAGGUUAAAGUAUCCUUUCUGAAACACCACAGUUUCAAACACUUAACAAGCAGUUUGUUUUCUCUAUACACGGCUGCAUGUCACAUACGUACAUGCAGGACACCCUAUAGGGGAACUGGAUUCUAUCAGAGCCAUAUAUACAUUAAUACUGUAUUAUAUAUAUAUAUGUCUCUGGGUUCUUCCCCCUAUGCAACAAUGGUUCUUUACCCAGGAAAGACAUUUGUAGCAAACAUAGCCAGCUAAAUAUUUUGGUAGCAAGAAAACAUAUUUUUUUUCUGUCAUUUUGAUGGCUCAAAUGAGUUAUACCAAUAACUGUCAAUCACUUUGUAUUGUAUUGUUUUUUUUGUAUUGGUUCCAACCAACCACUGUUGGAAAGAAAACAUUUGUUUUGAUGAAGCUUGAAAUAAUUGCUAUUCAUAAUUCUAAUAAGGCUUUGGGGUAUUUGAGCAGCAACUUCUAACAUAUACAAUCUCUGCCUUGUUUGUCAAAACAGCCUAGUCUAAAAAGAAGCAUACAGAAGAGCAGGCUCUCCUAGUUAUCUCCAUAAACAAUGAUAGAAUCAUAGAAUACAGCAUAAAUGCACUGGAGAACAUUAGUUAAACACCCCAGUGUUCUACUUUCACAUUGCUGGUCAGUCACAUUUAAAAUCCUUUUUCUUUAGCAUACAAGUUGGUUGUCUUUCAAAUGCUGUCACAAUUCUCUAUUGAUGAGGUGAAUUAGCUGCUUAUGUCAUGCAUUAUUCCCUCUAUUUUCUUCUGACGUUGAAGAUAUAUAUAAUAUAUAUAUAUAUAUAUAUAUAUAUAUAUAUAAUAUCACCAGAGUACAGUGUAGCUCGCUAUCGAUAGAGAAAAUAGCAAGGGAACUUAACCAAUUAAGUCAAGCUGCUGGUUAUCAUGUUGUAGGAACACGGUUGUGUCAGUUCACUUUCAAAUGUCAAAAUCUCAACUGUCAGAAGUUGGACUAUAGACAAUAAAUGCAGUUAUAAAGAGUGGAAGUGAUGGGAAUGCCUAAGGCUGAAGGCAUCACGUCAUAUUCAAGGGAACCAUAUUAGGUCAAAAGUCAAGUCAAUAUUCUAAAAGUUGGAUAUAUACUAUAGAUAAAUAAGGUGCAACUAUUCCUCAAGGAAUUAUUCUACUUGAUUAACACAAUGCUAAAAAAAAAACUACUGUAAAGUAAUCAUUCGGGUCAAAUCACAGAAAUGUCCUACUGUGUUUUACAGCAAGUAUGGAUGGGUGGAGAGUGACAAGUUGAGAAGGCAGAUCUAGGAUCAGGUCCACAAUGUCCAUAUAAUCUUCUUCAUUAUGAUCUAAAAGGCAAAACUGACCCUAGAUCAGCACUCCUACUCAGAGACACAAGAAUACAGGCACAGGUCAAGAAGAGUCAUCUCUCAUAUACUGUGUCUCUCACAUCAUGAAACCGACGGCAGUGAGCUGCUCACAGUAUAUUUUCCUCCACAGUAUAUCUUCCUCCACAGUAUAUUGUCCUCCACUGUCCGUGUCCCCAUAACGGGCUCGAACCAGUGACCAUCCUCGUUGACAAAGUACCGACCGAUUGAGCUAUACAAAAGGAUCCAAUUGGAUGGCUCCAUCGACGACAUUUCAAGCUAGCUGUGGAGUGACCUUACGGCACGUUCUUAACUCUGUUACAACGACAACACUAGAUGAUGGGAGUAUUAGGAUAAGGAAAUGAGGAUCUGGAUGGUAGCAGUGAGGUUGAAGGUGGGUCAGGGAUUAAAUGGGGGUCAGUGAGCUGAAUGUGUUACCCCAUACAGUAGGAGGUUAAAGGGGGUGAGUUAAAUGUGUUACCCCAUACAGUAGGAGGUUAAAUGGGGGUUGAGGUGGAGGGGGGUCAGGGAGCAGUAGCAGGUUAAAGGGGGAUCAGGGAGCAGUAGGAGGUUAAAGGGGGAUCAGGGAGCAGUAGGAGGUUAAAGGGGGAUCAGGGAGCAGUAGGAGGUUAAAGGGGGAUCAGGGAGCAGUAGGAGGUUAAAGGGGGAUCAGGGAGCAGUAGGAGGUUAAAGGGUGAUCAGGGAGCAGUAGGAGGUUAAAGGGGGAUCAGGGAGCAGUAGAAGGUUAAAGGGGGAUCAGGGAGCAGGAGGUUAAAGGGGGAUCAGGGAGCAGUAGUAUGUUAAAGGGGGAUCAGGGAGCAGUAGUAUGUUAAAGGGGGAUCAGGGAGCAGUAGGAGGUUAAAAGUGGGGACAUAGAGUAGGUUAUAUAUCUUUAAAGAACCCCUCGUUUGGAACUUCCAUGAGGUCAAAGGUGCUUUGAUACAUACAGUGCCUUCAGAAAGUAUUCACACCUCUUGACUAUUUCCCACAUCUUGUUGUGUUACAGCCUGAAUUUAAAAUGGAUUAAAUGUAGAUUUUUGUUUGUCAAUUGCCGACACACAAUACCGCAUAAUGUCAAAAUGGAAUUACAGUACUAGUCAAAAGUUUGGACACACCUACUCAUUCAAGGGUUUUUCUUUAUUUUUACUAUUUUCUACAUUGUAGAAUAAUAGUGAAGACAUCAAAACUAUGGAAAUUACACAUAUGGAAUCAUGUAACCAAAAAAGUGUUAAACAAUUCAAAAUAUAUUUUAUAUUUGAGAUUCUUCAAAGUAGCCACCAUUUGCCUUGAAGACAGCUUUGCACACUCUUGGCAUUCUCUCAACUAGCUUCAUGAGGUAGUCACCUGGAAUGCAAUUCAAUUAACAGGUGUGCCUUGUUAAAAGUGAAUUUGUGGAAUUUCAUUCCUUAAUGCGUUUGAACCAAUCAGUUGUGUUGUGACAAGGUAGGGGUGGUAUACAGAAGAUAUCCCAUUUUGGUAAAAGGCCAAGUCCAUAUUAUGGCAAGAACACCUCAAAUAAGCAAAGAGAAAUGAGAGUCCAUCUUUACUUUAAGACAUGAAGGUCAGUCAUUUCAGAAAAUUUCAAGAACUUUGAAAGUUUCUUCAAGUGCAGUCGCAAAAACCAUCAAGCGCUAUGAUGAAACUGGCUCUCAUGAGGACCGCCACAGGAAUGGACCCAGAGUUACCCAGAGUUACCUCUGCUGCAGAAGAUAAGUUCAUUUGAGUUACCAGCCUCAGAAAUUGCAGCCCAAAUAUAUGCGCUUAGUGGGACUAUCAUUUGUUUUUCAACAGGACAAUGACCCAAAACACACCUCCAAGAUGUGUAAUGGCUAUUUGACCAAGAAGGAGAGUGAUGGAGUGCUGCAUCAGAUGACGUGGCCUCCACAAUCACCCGACCUCAACUCAAUUGAGAUGGUUUGAGAUGAGUUGGACCACAGAGUGAAGUAAAAGCAGCCAACGAGUGCUCAGUAUGUGUGGGAACUCCUUCAAGACUGUUGGAAAAGCAUUCCAGGUGAAGCUGGUUGAGAGAAUGCCAAGAGUGUGCAAAGCUGUCAUCAAUGCAAAGGGUGGCUUUGAAGAAUCUAAAAUAUAUUUUGAUUUGAUUAACAGUUUUCUGGUUACUACAUGAUUCCAUAUGUGUUAUUUCCAUAGUUUUGAUGUCUUCACUGUUAUUCUACAAUGUAGAAAAUAGUAAAAUAAAGAAAAACCCUUGAAUGAGUAUGUGUGUUCAAACUUUUGUCUGGUACUGUAUGUUUUUAGAAAUUAUUUGAAAUUAAUAAAAAAUGUAAAGCUGAAAUGUCUUGAGUCAACAACUAUUCAACCCAUUUGUUAUGGCAAGCAUAAAUAGGUUCAUGUUACAUAAAACGUUGCAUGGACUCACUCUGUGUGCAAUAAUAGUGAUUCAUAGUAAUAAACAUGAUUUUUGAAUGACUACCUCAUCUAUGUACCCCACACAUACAAUUAUCUGUAAGGUCCCUCAGUUGAGCAGUGAAUUUCAAACACAGAUUCAACCAAUGCCUCGCAUAAAAGGGCACCCAUUAGUAGAUGGGUAAAAAAAAGCAGACAUUGAAUAUCCCUUUGAGCAUGGUGAAGUUAUUAAUUACACUAAUUACACCCAGUCACUACAAAGAUAGAAGCGUCCUUCCUAACUCAGUUGCCAGAGAGGAAGGAAAUCGCUCAGGGAUUUCACCAUGAGGCCAAUGGUGACUUUAAAACAGUUACAGUGUUUAAUGGCUGUGAUAGGAGAAAACUGAGGAUGGAUCAACAACAUUGUAGUUACUCCACAAUAUUAACAUAAUUACAGAGGGCAAAGAAGGAAGCCUGUACAGAAUAAAAAUUAUCCAAAACAUGCAUCCUGUUUGCAAUAAGGCACUAAAGUAAAAAAGCAAAAAAUGUGGCAAAACAAUUACCUUUUUUGUCCUAAAUACAAAGUGUUAUGUUUGAGGCAAAUCCAAUACAACACAUUACUGAGUACCACUCUCCAUAUUUUCAAGCAUAGUGGUGGCUGCAUCAUGCUCUGGGUAUGCUUGUAAUCGUUAAGGACUGGGGAGUUUUUCAGGAUAAAAAAUAAAUGGAAUGGUGCUAAGCACAGGCAAAACCUUGUUCAGUCUGCAUUCCACCAGAUACUGGGAGAUUAAUUCACCUUUCAGCAGGACAAUAACCUAAAACAAAAGGCCCCAUCUAGACUGGAGUUUCUUACCGAGAAGUCUGUGAAUGUUCCCGAGUGGCCGAGUUACAGUUUCGACUUAAAUCUACCUAAAACUUUAUGGAAAGACCUGAAAAGGGUUGUUUAGCAAUGACCAACAACCAAUUUGACAGAGCUUGAAUGAUUUUGAAAAUAAUAAUGGGCAGAUGUUGUACAAUCCAGGUGUGCAAAGCUCUUAGAGACUUACCCAGAAAGACUGACAGCUGUACUCGCUGCCAAAGGUGCUUGCAUCUACAACAAAUUGACUCAGGGGUGUAAAUACUUACGGAAAUGAGAUAUUUCUGUAUUUAAUUUUCAAUAAAUGUGCAACAAAAAAAAAUCUAAAAACAUGUUUUCACUUUCUCAUUAUUGGGUAUUGUGUGUAGAUGGAUGAGAAAAAAUAUAUAAUUAAUACAUUUUGAAUUCAGGAUGUAACACAACCAAAUGUGGAAUAAAUCAAAGGGUAUAAAUACUUUCUGAAGGCACUGUAUAGGCUUAAAAAUGUAAUUCUCCAAUUUCAAACAUGUUUUGGGGAAAUGUCACCCACUCUUUCUUUAAACAAAAUAAAUAUCUUAGUUCACUAGACGUGAACUAGGACUUAAGCUGUGGAAACUGACGAUUUGACCUGAAUGUAUACUUUACAGUACCAUUCACUAUUGGUUACCAAUAUAUUAACAUCUAUUCUAUGGGACCAGUGACUAAUUUUAAAGUUCAGCCAUUUACAUUUUUUGGGAUGUAACACAAACGGUGAUGUAUAUAAACCCUGGAUUGCUGAUGCUAUGUAUAUUUUUUCAAUGUUUAUUUUUAUGUUUAGCUCACAUAAUAUAAUAACAAAAAUAUGCAUUAACAUGUCUGUAAUAUACUGAACAAAAACAUAAAUGCAACAUGUAAAGUGUUGGUCCCAUGUUUCAUGAACUGAUAUAAAUGAUAUGUUCCAAAUGCACAAAAGCUUCUUUUUCUCAGAUUUUUUUUUACAUCCGUUAGUGAGCAUUUCUCCUUUGCCAAGAUAAACCAUCCACUUGACAGGUGUGGCAUAUCAAGAAGCUGAUUAAACAGCAUGAUCAUUACACAGGUGCACCUUGUACUGGGGACAAUAAAAGGCCACUCUAAAAUGUGCAGUGUUGUCACACAACACAAUGCCACAGGUGUCUCAAGUUUUGAGGGAGCCUGCAAUUGGCAUGCUGACUGCAGGAAUGUCCACCAGAGCUGUUGCCAGAGAAUGUUAUGUUCAUUUCUCUACCAUAAGACGCCUACAAGGUUAUUUUAUAGAAUUUGGCAGUACGUCCAACCAGUCUCACAACCGCAGACCACGUGUAACCACGCCAGCCCAGGACCUCCACAUCCGGCUUCUUUACCUGCGGGAGCAUCUGAGACCAGCCAACUGGACAGCUAAUGAAGCUGAGGAGUAUUUCUGUCUGUAAUAAAGACCUUUUGUUGUGAAAAACUAAUUCUGAUUGGCUGGGCCUGGCUCGCAAGUGGGGCCUAAUUUAUUUAUUUAAAAUGACUGAUUUCCUUAUAUGAAGUGUAACUCAGUACAAUCGUUGAAAUUGUUGCAUGUUGCAUUUAUAUUUUUGUUCAGUAUAGAAUAAACGUGGCAAAAACAAAUGUAGACUUUAUAAAUGCAUUUCUAUAGCUUCCAAAAUAUUUUUUUUCAACGGUGGGGGAGUUCCAAGAUGGAGGUACGGCGGCUUCAAAACAGCGCUCCCUGUCAGUCAUCUAGUGUAUAUAUAAAUCAUUGAACACAACCUAUUGUUUCCAAUAUGUUACACUUAAAAGCUAACAAUGCUCCAAAAGGUGACAAUUCCUUUGACUUUGUUUUUUAUGUUUACAUCUUUUUUUUUUUGCAGCCUAUUUUUGAUACCCAACCCAACAUCAAUAUCCAUACAACCUAAUGUUAUGGUCUCUAGCACAGUGACUACAAUGUUAGGCCACAGUUCUCUUCUCUUCCAUCUCUUCCUAUAGGUCAUUUUUGGUCUCAAGUAUUUCUUUGUCUUCCUCAUUCUGAUUUUUACUACUCUGUGAUAGGUCAGAGGCAUAUCCUCUCUCCACCUCCAUGCCGUUGCUGGAUAGGUCCAUCCCUCUAUCGGUCAUUGUCACGUCAUCCAACGAGCCAAUAAGCAGCUGAGCUGAGGUGUCUAUUGCUGGAGUGGUGCUAGUGUCUGUUGUUCUGCUGUUGGUAACAGUCCUGCAUGGGGAUGAGAGGGUGAAAGGUCAGUGUCCAUCACCAUAGGAACAUACUGGGGGAAAACAUGCCGAAGGAAGAGGCUGAGAGGGAGGGAAAGAAGUAGGAAUGGAGAGAGAGAUGGGACAGGGAAAGGAGAAGAGAGGGAUGCAAGAUCCCAGUAAACACAAUUACGUUGAAAAUAUGUCUUUUAGACAUCUAGUUGCUGAAUCAAAGUUGAAAAUAUGUAUUUUCCGGACGUUGAAAAUACAUAUUCAACAGGGCAUUGAAAUUGGGUGCAUUUCAGGUGCGGAAUGAAAGGUGAAAAUACAUAUUCUACAGGGCAUUGAAAAGACUUCAAUUACAGACAUUGAAAAUAUGUUAAUAACAGAUGUUGAAUACUUAUUUUUUCAGUCAUUGAUUCUAUGGCCAACUUUCAUAUGCAUAUACACUACCGUUCAAACAUUUGGGGUCACUUAGAAAUGUCCUUGUUUUUGAAAGAAAAGCACCUUUUUUGUCCAUGAAAUUAACAUCAAAUUGAUCUGAAAUACAGUGUAGACAUUGUUAAUGUUGUAAAUGACUAUUGUAGCUGUAAACGGCUGAUUUGUAAUGGAAUAUAUACAUAGGCGUACAGAGCCCAUUAUAAGCAACCAUCACUCCUGUGUUCCAAUGGUAAUCCAAGUUUAUCAUUUUUAAAAGGCUAAUUGAUCAUUAGAAAACCCUUUUGCAAUUAUGUUAGCACAGCUGAAAACUGUUGUUCUGUUUAAAGAAGCAAUAAAACAAACCU